CCUACGGGCGGCAGCAGUAGGGAAUCUUCCACAAUGGGCGAAAGCCUGAUGGAGCAACGCCGCGUGGGUGAAGAAGGUCUUCGGAUCGUAAAACCCUGUUGUUAGAGAAAAAAGUACGUGAGAGUAACUGUUCACGUUUCGACGGUAUCUAACCAGAAAGCCACGGCUAACUCCGUCCCAGCAGCCGCGGUAAUACGUAGGUGGGAAGCGUUGUCCGGAUUUUUUGGGCGUAAAGGGAACGCAGGGGGUUCUUUAAGUCUGAUGUGAAAGCCUUCGGCUUAACCGGAGUAGUGCAUUGGAAACUGGGAGACUUGAGUGCAGAAGAGGAGAGUGGAACUCCAUGUGUAGCGGUGAAAUGCGUAGAUAUAUGGAAGAACACCAGUGGCGAAAGCGGCUCUCUGGUCUGUAACUGACGCUGAGGUUCGAAAGCGUGGGUAGCAAACAGGAUUAGAUACCCCAGUAGUC
rnacentral:rRNA from 1 species